rnacentral:piRNA from 1 species
UCCAAUUGCUACGAAACUCUCCUCCACGG